rnacentral:rRNA from 1 species
GCCUCAGAAGGGUAGGACUACCCGCUGAACUUAAGCAUAUCAAUAAGCGGAGGA